AGCCAACAAGUUCAACCACCACUAAGAAAGUUUGAUUCCUUACCUGGCUGGGCUUGAUGCUGCUUCCCUCUCAUUUGAUUCAAGGACUACAAGUCUUGGCGAAUGCGGUGCUUGGUUAUUCCCGGAGACAAUACACAAUUGCACAACU